CAGCAGGACCACUGCAGGGGCAACCACCAUCAGAUAGAACCACCAUCCACAGAAUCCUGUGGGGAGGGAGAGCACAGAGAUUUUAGGAGAGGGUAAUGUCGGUUUAUGAGUAAAGUAAUAUGAUUAAUAUCUAAAAUAAUUAUGAUGAUGAUGGCAGCAGCAGGCGUCAGCAUGGCCACGGUAGGUGUCAGGACCAGGGUCCCGAAGGAACCACGAUCUACGGAGACCUGAUAGGAGAGAAAGCACACAAAAAACUCCCGGAAAGAAGCUGAAUUAGUCAUGUGCAUUAAUAAAACUUGAAUUAUGGUAGAACGAGAGUGUGAGAGAGGAGCUUGGUGUGUCCUAAGAAUUCCCCCGGCAUUCUAAGCCUAUAGCAGCUUAACUAAGGGCUGGUCCGGACUAACCUGAGCCAGCCCUAACUAUAGGCAGAAUCAAAGAGGAACGUUUUAAGUUUUACUUUAAAAGAGCUGACCGAAUCUGCCCCCCGGACUGAAAGUGGAACCUGGUUCCACAAAAGAGGAGCUUGAUAACUGAAGGCUCUGGCCCCCAGCCUACUUUUUAAAACCCUAGGAACAACAAGUAACCCAGCAUCUAUGGAGCGCAGUUGCCUUGUAGGGCAAUACGGUGUUACAAGCUCUUGAAGAUACAACGGUGCCUCACCAGCAAGUGCCUUGUAGGUGAGGAGAAGUACCUUAAAAUCUAUUCUUGAUUUAACAGGGAGCCAGUGCAGAGAAGUUAAUACAGGAGUGAUAUGAUCCCUUUUCUUAGUUCUUGUUAAUACACGUGCUGCAGCAUUCUGAAUCAACUGGAGAGGCUUAAGAGAUUUAUAGUUAGUACUGUCAUUAUUUUUAUUGUAUAGAGACGUAAUGUAUAGGUGUGGUACUAGUGUACAGCUGUUUCCAUUUAUAUUGUAAUAAUACCCAAUGAUAAGUAAAUUGGUAUUGGGUAGCAAGUAUAUUGUCUGAAAGGAGUUGUGGAGUCAUCUUUUAUUAAACAAAUUUCCCUUUUUGUUUAACUGCACAUUGUCUGUGGAGCAUUCAAGACUUAAUACUUCAUGAAAAAUUUUACCUUCAGCACUAGUUUUUGGAUUUUGGGAGAUGAUUGAUAAUGUUGACUAAUAUAUUUUUAUUGUCUUUUAAAAAAAUAUCGUUUUUACAUCAUUGCUGUAUUAUCUGCUACUUUUCAGUUAGAUGCAAAGAUUGGAAAAAUGUUUCCUGGGAAGCAAUACCUCUUCCUUCGGAAAUGGGAAGGACAUAUUGUUUCAACUACUGAAAGUGGCAACGCUUGAAAAUGACCCCCAUGCCAGCUGGUGAGGAGAGUGAUGAGUUACUUUGCUUCAGAGCCCUUCAGAUGCUCACACACUAUUUGCCUCCUACGUCCGGGAGGGCUAAAGGAUGGGCCAAGUGCAGUGUGAAAUCGGCCCUUUUUGUACAUCUUGGACAUAAAAAGAAAAGCAGCUUUGGUCUUUGAAUCCCAUCUCAAGUAUCAACACAUGGUUAUCCAUCUUUUACAUUGACUAAAGGGCUAUGUCAGACUUUUUCAAAAUAUGCUUAGGUAUGGAAAGUCAUGUUUGAUAACCCUGUUGUUGUUAUACUGGACUACAUGGUAACUGGAUGUAUGCUACAGUAUUAAAUGUUCAGCAUUUGGAUUCCCACAUAUAUUCUGAUUUUGUGUAAAACAUUACUUGAUUUAUAUAUUUUGUUUUAUAUCGUGAAUUUAGACAGACAUUUGUGUGCUAUGAUAUAGAAAAAAACAUUAUUUGAUAUCAGCCCUUACCAGCCCUAUUUGAUAUACUUGUGUUUUCCCCAGACUGGAACAAGCAUCCACAGCCUUCUAGAGGGAGCUCCUGAGGAGGGCUUUGGAUAAAAGCGUCUGCUAAAUGACAUGUAAUGUAAUGAAAUUUGGGGUCACCUGCUAGGGCUAUUGGCCCCGCGAUCCGAGACACACAAGGAGCGUCAAGCUAACAUAAAUGCUUUCAAUAUAUCUUACAUAUCAUUAGUUCCUGCACAAUGAGCUUAAAUGAAAUGAUCAAUAUUCCCAAAAUUCCAAUAAAGUCAUGGAAAUUUUGUUUGAAGUCAUGGAAAUACAUUGGUCAAAAUGUGUAUGAACCCUGAAAAAAGGUGAAUCUACUGUAGAGUAGUAAAAGAAGGCAGACGCACCUAUCAAUCCGUUUGGAUUAGGACACAAAGUUGAGUCUUUUCUGACUCACCCCUGCUGUUCUCCAGCUCUUUAAAGCCUAAUAGAAAAUAAUGAUUGAAAGCUGUAAAGGUCAAACAGAGCUGCUGUUACACCGGACAUUUUAUUUCAUAUGCAUUAUUUAUCCUCAAGUCUACAUCCCUUAAAAUAUAAAUUAUGCUGUUAUAACAUAUACACCAUGUACCAUAACAUACAUACAUGAUACAUAAUCUGGACAGACUAGUUUCAGAUUUAAAUAUUUCAAAAGUAAAGUGCAUAACCUCCUAAUAGGGCACAUCGUGAAAGCGAAUGCAUCAUGGCCCUUUUGGUUCAUUCAGCUUCUGUUUGCAGAGAGACCGAAUCAACAUUGUAUUGGUAUUUUCUUUUCUUUUUUCGUAAACUACAUAAUAAAGUAUAUAGGUCUCAGGACCCCAUAUCCAUCUGUAACCAUGUCAUCAACAUCUGCCCGGUGCCAUGCUGCUGUGAGAGUUUGUUACAGGCUGCUUGGCCGUCACAGAAAACCUUUAUUUUUAUAGUGUUCAUGAAUUAAAGAUGGCUUCCCCUAGGGUGUAGAAGUAGAGUAGGCUUUAUAGAUUCCCCUCACUCCUCUGCAUUAAUUCUCCUAAAUACCACAGGCCGUGUAUCAAGAUGUUAGACACAGAAAACAAUAACAGCCAAACAUUCUUAUCUAGCUUUUUGUUUCUAUUUCUUCCUCGAAAUAUCCCUUACUUGUUUUUCUCCCUGGCUUCCCGCUUUCUGAAAGUUCAAGCCAGUCUAUUAAAAACUGGAUUACCCACAAGUCACCAGGUUAUGUACUCCAUCACUGCUGAAGGUCAAGUUUUCUUGUUCCGUUGCAGGGGGAUUUGGGGAAAUGGGAAUGGUAUAAUGGUUUUAUUUGUACCCGUGGGAAAAAAAAACGUGAAUAAAUUUGAAUAGAUGUAGACGUUGGUUGCGUGUUAUGCUAUGUUUUCUUAUCAGGCAGAUUUUAAUAAAGAUUACUUCUCGUAAAUUAAAUGAAAUAAAAAAAUGGCAGGGAUUUGAACAAAACAGGGAUUAGGGAAAAGGUUUCUGAGAACAAAACAGAGGGGUAAAAGGUCUCCCUGUAAUCUACCACAGUUUGUAUUGGAUGUAUUUUAAAUAUGCGUAAUUGCUUUAGUUAAUGUGAUUUGAUUGAUUGUUUCGUUACUAUUGCACUCGCUUUUCCACACCAAGAGCUGAGCCGGAAGGCAAAGCUCUGCUCUGUUUUGUGGUCAUCAACUAAGGAUCAUGACUGUACCUGACCUGCAUGCGGCGGUAAUUCUGGAACGGGGGACCAUACCUUUUCCAGCAGCCCUACGGGAGCCUACACAUGAUCAUCCAUCAACCCUCAGCCAACGGCCUGGAGGCUACGAACCAAAGAUGGCCAGGCUGGAAGACUCUGACAACAUUGAGCACUAUUUAACCACCUUCGAACGGCUUGCAACAGUCUUUGACUGGCUAAAGGAGGACUGGGCCAUUCACCUCAUUCCGCUCCUGACUGCAUUUGUAGCUAUGGAUCCAGAGAGCACUUUGGACUAGGACCUUUUAAGGGAGGCUGUGCUAAAAAAAUGAGAUCAACUCAGAGACUUAUCAUCUGGAGACCAGCCGGGAGGAGACGCCACAACUCUACGUCUGCCUGAGGGAUCUCUUCUACCAGUGGGUCAAGUUCGACCCGAGCAGCAAGGAGGGCCUCAUGGAGACUAUGGUGCUGGAACAGUAUCUAAGAGUCCUCUGUCCAGAGGUGAGGACCUGGGUCAAAGAACACAACCCAGCAACGGCAGCUAAAGUGGCCAGGCUGGUGGAGAACUUUGUGGCAGCACACCGAGGCUCCAGGAGCUACCGUUAUGCUGGAAUACUGGAUAGACAAGCCCAGGGUAAGUCUGUUGGGCCUGGUAGAGGAGUGGAUUUUGAAACUACCCUAGCUAUAAUAGAAACCUAUUACCCCGGAUAGUGGAACGCCUCAAGCCAUAUCAUGUUUUAAUUGUGGUAGGGAAGGUCAUAAAAGCCCCUCUUGCCCACUCUGGAAGGCUAAAUACAAUCACCUGUGUUAUAUUCCCAAUCCCACCCCACCUGGUACGACCAAGCAGAACAGAGGCCCUGUUAUACCCAUCAAGCUUAAUGGCAAGCGGGUCACCGCUCUCAUAGACACGGGCUGUUCACAGACGUUGGUGCAGGCUGACCAAGUCCCCCAGGAGUUAUAUUACAUUACAUGUCAUUUAGCUGACGCUUUUAUCCAAAGCGACGUACAAUAAGUGCAUUUAACCAUAGGGUACAAACUCAGGAGAACAAGAAAGUGCAAUUUUCUCAAAUAAGCCAAUUUACAAUUUGCUAUAGAUGAGUGACGUUACAAGUACAAUUUAAGUGCUACAAUUUGUUAGUCUUUAGUCGAGGUAGAGUCUGAAGAGGUGUGUCUUUAGUUUGCGGCGGAAGAUGUGAAGGCUCUCUGCGGUCCUGAUGUCUUCAGAGAGCUCGUUCCACCAUUUCGGCGCAAGGACAGCGAAGAGUCGAGACCUAGUCGAGUGUUUUGCUCUCAGUGAGGGAGGGACGAGUAGUUUUGCAGAUGCAGAGCGGAGAGUGCGGGUUGGGAUGUAGGGUUUGACCAUGUCCUGGAUGUAAGCUGGACCCGAUCCAUUCACAGCAUGGUACGUGAGCACCAAUGUUUUGAACUGGAUGCGGGCGGCCACCGGUGAAGAGAGCGGAGGAGUGGAGUAGUGUGGGAGAAUUUCGGAAGGUUGAAGACCAGUCGAGCUGCUGCAUUCUGAAUGAGCUGCAGAGGUCGAAUGGCGGUGGCAGGGAGACCUGCCAGGAGGGAGUUGCAGUAGUCCAGGCGGGAGAUGACAAGAGCCUGAAUCAGUACUUGCGCUGCCUUCUGAGUGAGAAGGGGACGUAUUCUCCUGAUGUUGUAGAGCGUGUAUCUACAGGAUCGCGUUGUCGCGGCGAUGUUGGGAGUCAGGGAGAGUUUGCUGUCGAGUGUGACGCCGAGGUUCUUAGCGGUCAAAGUGGGCGUUAGUACGGAGUUUCCAAAGUUGACUGUCAGGUCCUGGGUAAGCGAAUCUUUUCCGGGAAAGAGAAGUAGUUCAGUUCAAGAACUUUAACUUUAAUGACAAACUUACGGUCUUUUGUGUUCAUGGUGAUCAGAGCGAGCACAGCACAUCAGAUGUGUUGGUUAGGGUGUGUGGUCAGACAAACCUGCUUAGGGUAGGACUAGUCCCAAAACUCCCCUAUCCAGUGUUGUUGGUGUCAGGAUCUCCCAGUAUUGCCCGAGCUAGUGAGCAAGACUGCCUGGUGUGGGGUAGUCACUAGAGCUAGGGGCAACACCAAGAAGACCUGGCCGAAUUGUCGUACCAUGGAGAGGAUAUCCCGGUACAGCCCAUAUACGCUACUGAGGAGAGGUAUGACGAGCGCAGACAAAGGGUUGGAGGGAUUUUGGAACAUUCUCAUAUGCAGCCAGAGUCGGGACGUUGGUUCCCCGAGUUUGUCGGAGGUGGAUGUAACUUUUAGGGCUUAUCUUACUAAAGAACAGGGUGCAGACCCCACCCUUAGCCCAUUGUUUAAGAAGGCAAAGGACGGUUCUGGUUUGGUUCCGGCACUUGGGAAAGAGGGGUACAUUGUUCAGAACAACCUCCUCUAUAGGCAGAGUGAGGAGGGACUUCGGCUAGUGGUGCCCCACAAGUUUAGAAGAGAGUGGGGCCCCUGGAGAGCAGCAAGGCAGGGAAUAGUCAUUUAGUUGUCUGACUAUGCAACCAGAUACCCAGAAGAUUUCCCGAUGAGAGAGGUCACCACAGCUAUGUUCAACCUGUUUUCCAGAGUAGGGAUUCCCCGGGAGGUUCUACUUGUUCUUACGCGUCACUUGUUCGCUAGUGCACUUUUAUUUUUUAAAUAUUUUUAAUUUGAACUUUAUUCUCUUAUUUUAUACUAACCCAUAGCAUUAGCAUUUUAUUUUAUUACUUGUGCACUGCUGUCUUGUUGUCUAUUGUUACACUGUCUGUCACGCACCAACCGCCAAGUCAAAUUCCUUGUAUGUAUGACAUAUUUGGCAAUAAAUGUUUCUUGAUUCCUACCAGAUCAGGGCUCCAACUUCAUGAGCAAAACCCUCCGACAAGUGUAUGAUCUAUUAGGGAUAAAAAGAGUCCACACCAUACCACCUCCAGACAGAUGGACUAGUGGAGCGGUUCCUUGUGAACAUGCUCAGGAAGUUUGUGGAUGACACUGGAAAAGACUGGGACCAGUGACUACCUUACCUGCUGUUCGCAUACAGAGAGGUCUCUCAGGCUUCAACAGGAUUCUCACCCUUCGAGCUCCUGUACGAACAUCAGGUUCGAGGUCCACUGGAUAUUUUGAAGAAGACAUCUCAGGCAAGACAGACAUAAUCUCCUAUGUCUUGAAGAUGAGGGAGAAGAUUGCAGCCACAGCUGCUAUGGCUCAGUGUGUGCAAGGUCGGCAGAAGGCAUGGUAUGAUCGGUGCGCCCGUACCCGCUGUUUCCAGCCUGGAGAGAAGGUCCUGCUGUUGUUGCCAAGCUCAGAGAACAAGCUGUUGGCAAUAUGGCAAGGACCCUAUUCGGUGACCUACGAAGUCCACAUGCCAGACCGGCGCAGGAAACAUCAGGUUUUCCACGUCAAUAUGCUAAAGAAGUAGAGUGAGAGGCCGUUCCGUUGAGGAGGAGGAGUACAGCGAGCAGUACUUGCCUGGCCGGGACGAGAAGAGCAAGUUGGAUCUGAGUCAUCGGCCGGA
ensembl:lncRNA